rnacentral:lncRNA from 1 species
GAGUUGUGGAUGAUUCACAUGUGAUUUCAUACCCAUUAACCUAUACUUGAUGUUCUUAUUUGUCAUAGAAAGGAACGUUUACAGAGAAACCUAUGUUUGAGGGACUAUAGCCAUUUUAAGCAGCUUUUGUCCAUUUGUGAAGAUUGUAGAUGGAUAGAAGCAGAUGGUGCUAGUCAAUAUGGGACUGUUGGAGGGUGUUUAGGAUUGUUUGUUUAUCUAGCUUUUCUGCAAAUGUAGAUGAUGCCAAUAGUUACUGGGUGAGUUUGCUUUCGAGAGGCGUGUAAUUCUAAUAUCGCAGAUUAAUGAAGGUGAAUCUUUGUGCUUUGAUUCUUAUUUAUUACUAUAUAAUGUUUUAAAGCUUACAGAAAACAUCCAAAAUUUGUUUAUGUUGUUAAGUAUCGAAAUUGUGAGAAGGGGGGAAAACACGGAGACAAGAUCAACAAAUAAGGCUUCGUAACGUUUGUGGGUCCACCAGUCCAAUCCGAACCCAUGUUAACAUUUGAACUUUUUGGUUUAUUACAGUUGAGCGCGGACCAAUGGAAGUCACCAGUCCAACCUAAACCCUUAGAAGAGGAUGCAUCCUUGUGAUUCUCCUUUGUUUCAUCUUAAUCUCUUUUUUUGCUGCUGUUGAAUGUCAAUAUAUGAACUUUGAAUCUGUGAAUUAUUUGUAUAAUUGGUAGGAUGGUAAUGGUGCUUAGAUAUGGGGUCUUUUCACUACAUUUGAGAGCACAAUAGUGUCAUAUUUAUUUUACAGUACAUGUUUAUAAUAAAUGUG